rnacentral:rRNA from 1 species
UACGGAGGGGGCUAGCGUUGUUCGGAAUUACUGAGCGUAAAGCGCACGUAGGCGGCUUUGUAAGUUAGAGGUGAAAGCCCGGGGCUCAACUCCGGAAUUGCCUUUAAGACUGCAUCGCUAGAAUUGUGGAGAGGUAAGUGGAAUUCCGAGUGUAGAGGUGAAAUUCGUAGAUAUUCGGAAGAACACCAGUGGCGAAGGCGACUUACUGGACACAUAUUGACGCUGAGGUGCGAAAGCGUGGGGAGCAAACAGG